AACGCUACGCCGCUACACCUGCAGUCGACGGGCAGCACAUAUAAGCUUGCUUAUAGGGUGGCGACCGGCGCACGGGUGCGUAACGCGUAUACAAUCUACCUUAUGCUGAGGGAUAGCCCAGAGAAAUUUGGAUUAACCCCUCAUGGUAUUAGAGGAUGGCAUCAUUUUUUAAUUAAAGGUUACGGCAUAAGAUGAGUAUGCGUCCCAUUAGCUAGUUGGUAGGGUAACGGCUUACCAAGGCUACGAUGGGUAGGGGUCCUGAGAGGGAGAUCCCCCACACUGGUACUGAGACACGGACCAGACUCCUACGGGAGGCAGCAGUGAGGAAUAUUGGACAAUGGGCGGAAGCCUGAUCCAGCCAUGCCGCGUGCAGGAAGACGGCCUAUGGGUUGUAAACUGCUUUUAAACGGGAAGAAUAAGGCCUACGUGUAGGUUGAUGACGGUACCGUAAGAAUAAGGACCGGCUAACUCCGUGCCAGCAGCCGCGGUAAUACGGAGGGUCCGAGCGUUAUCCGGAAUUAUUGGGUUUAAAGGGUCCGUAGGCGGGCUAUUAAGUCAGGGGUGAAAGUUUGCAGCUCAACUGUAAAAUUGCCUUUGAUACUGGUAGUCUUGAGUUGUCAUUGAAGUGGCUGGAAUAUGUAGUGUAGCGGUGAAAUGCAUAGAUAUUACAUAGAACACCGAUUGCGAAGGCAGGUCACUAAGUACACACUGACGCUG
rnacentral:rRNA from 1 species